rnacentral:rRNA from 1 species
CAUGCAAGUCGAACGGAAAGUGCCCAGCUUGCUGGGUGACUCGAGUGGCGAACGGGUGAGUAACACGUGGGUGAUCUGCCCUGCACUUUGGGAUAAGCCUGGGAAACUGGGUCUAAUACCGAAUACACCCUGCUGGUCGCAUGGCCUGGUGGGGGAAAGCUUUUGCGGUGUGGGAUGGGCCCGCGGCCUAUCAGCUUGUUGGUGGGGUGAUGGCCUACCAAGGCGACGACGGGUAGCCGGCCUGAGAGGGUGUCCGGCCACACUGGGACUGAGAUACGGCCCAGACUCCUACGGGAGGCAGCAGUGGGGAAUAUUGCACAAUGGGCGCAAGCCUGAUGCAGCGACGCCGCGUGAGGGAUGACGGCCUUCGGGUUGUAAACCUCUUUCAGUAGGGACGAAGCGUAAGUGACGGUACCUAUAGAAGAAGCACCGGCCAACUACGUGCCAGCAGCCGCGGUAAUACGUAGGGUGCGAGCGUUGUCCGGAAUUACUGGGCGUAAAGAGCUCGUAGGUGGUUUGUCGCGUUGUUCGUGAAAACUCACA